GCGUCCGUAGCUCAAUUGGAUAGAGCAGCAGGUUGCGGUCCUGCAGGUUAUGAGUUCAAGUCUCUUCGGGCGUACCA
rnacentral:tRNA from 1 species